rnacentral:rRNA from 1 species
UACGUAGGGGGCUAGCGUUGUCCGGAUUUAUUGGGCGUAAAGAGCGUGUAGGCGGCCAGGUAGGUCUGGUGUGAAAACUCGAGGCUUAGCCUCGAGAUGUCAUCGGAAACCAUCUGGCUAGAGUCCGGAAGAGGAGAGUGGAAUUCCUGGUGUAGCGGUGAAAUGCGCAGAUAUCAGGAAGAACACCAAUGGCGAAAGCAGCUCUCUGGGCCUUACCUGACGCUGAGGAGCGAAAGCGUGGGGAGCGAACAGG